rnacentral:sRNA from 1 species
GAGCGAAAGCGAGAAAGCGUUGCCAACGGCAACGACCCGAAGGGCGAAGCGCGCAGCGCUGAGUAAUCCUUCCCCCACCACCA